CUUGUUUAACUUGUUCUCCUGAU
rnacentral:antisense_RNA from 1 species